UACGUAGGGUGCAAGCGUUAAUCGGAAUUACUGGGCGUAAAGCGUGCGCAGGCGGUUUUGUAAGAAAGAGGGGAAAUCCCCGGGCUCAACCUGGGAACUGCCUUUGUGACCGCAAGGCUUGAGUGCGGCAGAGGGGGAUGGAAUUCCGCGUGUAGCAGUGAAAUGCGUAGAUAUGCGGAGGAACACCGAUGGCGAAGGCAAUCCCCUGGGCCUGCACUGACGCUCAUGCACGAAAGCGUGGGGAGCAAACAGG
rnacentral:rRNA from 1 species